UAUGCGACCGGCGCACGGUGAGUAACACGUAUCCAACCUGCCGAUGACUCGGGGAUAGCCUUUCGAAAGAAAGAUUAAUACCCGAUGGCAUAGUUCUUCCGCAUGGUAGAACUAUUAAAGAAUUUCGGUCAUCGAUGGGGAUGCGUUCCAUUAGGUUGUUGGCGGGGUAACGGCCCACCAAGCCUUCGAUGGAUAGGGGUUCUGAGAGGAAGGUCCCCCACAUUGGAACUGAGACACGGUCCAA
rnacentral:rRNA from 1 species